CUUGGUCAUUUAGAGGAAGUAAAAGUCGUAACAAGGUUUCCGUAGGUGAACCUGCGGAAGGAUCAUUAGUGAAUUAAACAUGCUUGGUGUCUUCGCUUCGGCAAGGCCCUUGCUUAAAUCACAUCCUAACACCUGUGAACUGUAAGACGUAUGAUGAGGUCUUUGGCCAAGUCAUCGUCUGCCCUUUUUUAACAAACAAUUAAUGUAACAAACGUAGUCUUAUUAUAACCUAAUAAAACUUUCAACAACGGAUCUCUUGGCUCUCGCAUCGAUGAAGAACGCAGCGAAAUGCGAUAAGUAAUGUGAAUUGCAGAAUUCAGUGAAUCAUCGAAUCUUUGAACGCACCUUGCGCUCUUUGGUAUUCCGAAGAGCAUGCCUGUUUGAGUGUCAUGAAAAUAUCAACCUUGACUUGGGUUUUGUGCUCUAGUCUUGGCUUGGAAUUGGGUGCUUGCCGCUUUUACGAGCGGCUCACCUUAAAUGUAUUAGCUGGAUCUGUCUUUGAGGCUUGGUUUGACUUGGCGUAAUAAGUAUUUCGCUAAGGACAUUCUUCGGAGUGGCCUCGUUUCUAGGACGCUUGUCCGCUUCCCAAUACAAGUUCCACCUCGUGGACAUGACUUUUUUAUUAUCUGGCCUCAAAUCAGGUAGGACUACCCGCUGAACUUAAGCAUAUCAAUAAGCGGAGGA
rnacentral:rRNA from 1 species